rnacentral:tRNA from 1 species
GUCUGGCUGGCUCAGUCAGUAGAGCAUGUGACUCUUGAUCUCAGGAUUGUGAAUUCGAGCCCCAUGUUGGAUG